GGGAGGGAUUUUCGACUCGCAUUAAUCUGUGAGGCCAAACACAGUCCAACAGCCAUUCAAUCCCAGCACUCUUUAUACAUGCGUGAGAGCUCACACACACACACUCACACACACACAUAUGCACUUCUCCGAUCAUAGUGUGUGAAGCUGCAAGGACACAGACUAAGACUUGCAAAAUGAACCUCUUCUGCUUCACUCUGGAUGGCUCUACAGACAGCCUGUACGAGCCGGCCCAGAUCGGCCAGAACAGUCAAGACUUAUUACCCAGAAGGCUCCCCAGCCCCAACUCUGUGAAAAUCAGGGGCAUGUGGAGUGGAUCUGAGCCAUGCAUCACCAUGAAGCUUCCAGAGACUCACACAAGUAAGACUCAAGAAAGUAAAACUUUGGAAAAGGCAAAGAGAAAGU